CCCCUGAUGUUCCAGCGACAAGGAUUCUGUGCUUUCACCACCAUAGCCUUGGUUCGAGUCCCAGUCAGGGAA